GACGAACGCUGGCGGCGUGCUUAACACAUGCAAGUCGAACGGAAAGGCCCUUCGGGGUACUCGAGUGGCGAACGGGUGAGUAACACGUGGGUGAUCUGCCCUGCACUUUGGGAUAAGCCUGGGAAACUGGGUCUAAUACCGGAUAGGACCACGGCAUUCAUGUGCUGUGGUGGAAAGCUUUUGCGGUAUGGGAUGGGCCCGCGGCCUAUCAGCUUGUUGGUGGGGUAAUGGCCUACCAAGGCGACGACGGGUAGCCGGCCUGAGAGGGUGACCGGCCACACUGGGACUGAGAUACGGCCCAGACUCCUACGGGAGGCAGCAGUGGGGAAUAUUGCACAAUGGGCGCAAGCCUGAUGCAGCGACGCCGCGUGAGGGAUGACGGCCUUCGGGUUGUAAACCUCUUUCGCCAGGGACGAAGCGCAAGUGACGGUACCUGGAGAAGAAGGACCGGCCAACUACGUG
rnacentral:rRNA from 1 species